rnacentral:rRNA from 1 species
UACGGGGGGGGCAAGCGUUGUUCGGAAUUACUGGGCGUAAAGGGCGCGUAGGCGGCUUAACAAGUCACUUGUGAAAUCUCCGGGCUUAACUCGGAACGGCCAAGUGAAACUGUCAAGCUAGAGUGCAGAAGGGGCAAUCGGAAUUCUUGGUGUAGCGGUGAAAUGCGUAGAUAUCAAGAGGAACACCUGAGGUGAAGACGGGUUGCUGGGCUGACACUGACGCUGAGGCGCGAAAGCAUGGGGAGCGAACGGG